rnacentral:rRNA from 1 species
GACGAAGGAUGCAAGCGUUAUCCGGAUUCAUUGGGUUUAAAGGGAGCGUAGGUGGUCUUCUAAGUCAGUGGUGAAAUCUCUCGGCUUAACUGAGAAAUUGCCAUUGAUACUGGGAGACUUUGAGUGUAGUUCCGUUGGCGGAAUAUGACAUGUAGUGGUGAAAUACAUAGAGAUGUCAUAGAACACCGAUUGCGAAGGCAGCUAACGAAACUAUAACUGACACUGAGGCUCGAAAGUGCGGGGAUCAAACAGG